rnacentral:lncRNA from 1 species
UGUUGUCAGAAGCAGAGAGUUGAGAAUCGAUGUGUGCGCUGGUACUGGGUGCUAGCCCCGUGCCACUGCUGGGAUUUGCUCGAGGUGACGGCAUGUGGCUUUCCCUUGCUGGAAGGAAAAACGCGAUCUCUUUCGCCUUCCGCACGCACGGGAGAAGGCAGAGAGGGGAAGAGAAAGACGAGACCUCGAGACAGAAGAGGCGAGGCCGCGCUGGAUGUGCGUCCUGCGAUAUCUAUGCGCAGAAAUCGGCAGGGCGGGUGGCCUGCUCUUACGUGGCUGUCGCAGGUGCGCGUGAGUGCCUAGUCCCAAGGGGGAAUCGCAGCUUGUUCGCAGUGCGCAAGAACCCCGCGCCGCGCGCGCUCUGCAACAACCAAAGGCCGGCAGCAGAGAUCUGGGUGUUUUGAAUUUGCACGCGUCUGGGGAGUGUUUUUUCAAAGUUCAUCGCGAGGACAAACCUUUCUGAGGCGCCCACAAGGAGCGGAUUGGGAAACAGUGCACGGGUAAAGACGACGCGCCCGUGCCAGCGGUGAAUCCUGCAAGGUGCCAGGCUGCUCGAGAACCGUGUGUGAGUUUUCGAGGUCCCUUACAGGAACGGAAGUCAUUACGUGUACACUCCAGAACAAAGCUGAGUUCGCUGUUGCGCUGUUUAUCGGCCCGGCAUUAUUCUAGAAGGAAGGGCAUAAAGUUUUUUCCGCCGCGUUCCCGUCUCUCCUCUCGUGCGGGCGGCCAACAGCCGCGCCUCGCAGCGAACACGCGAAACCGCUGUGUGGCCGCCGCGUGUAUGCGGUAAAUUUACAUGCUCAGUAUUUUCUUCAGGCGGCAAUUUUAAGAUCUGGAAUUGUCGCUCACGUUCGCCGACGCGUCCUUCAAGGGAAGUUUUCCUCUUUCUCGCAGGAGGGGCCGCCGGCGCAGUGUCAACUGCAGACCAGGAUUCGCGGCAGACCUUUCUGUGUCGUUGCCAAGCUAUCUCCCGAUCCCCUUUUUCUGGCCUACACAGCAGCCACUCUGAAAGAGAGGGAGACCCAGAUUUCUACCUGUGUACAGACGCACACUGUACAGUCACCAGUGGCGGGGCUGUCGUCGCAGAUCGAUUAUGCGAGCUCCCUGAGAGUCUCUCUCGCCUCCUAGCGCCGAUUUCUGUAGAGAAACGGACGGGUGGUCCUCAGACUUGACGCAAAAAGAGUCGGUCAAGAGAAGGGUGGUCCUCAGACUUAAAAAGAAUUCGUCCAAGAUGGACUGCUGCGGACUGUGCGCUGAUGAGGAUCGGGAGGUGUGGAUGGCUGACCGCAUUUCUCCCAAAAUCGGCCUCUCGGGUAAUUACUUCAGAACUUCCGGCGGGUUGUUAACGGGUUUCAUACCCCUGUACCCUGUGCUCUCUUGCAGCCAGGUGGGAAUUCAGGCUUAGCGCUUCUCACAUCGCCACGCAUAGACACACUCGAAAAUGUACCAGGGGGAAAAUGAAAAUUGUUUCUGAUGUGUGCAGCAGUCUUCAAUCGUGGCAAAAAUCGGCGUAUGUGUGGGAUAACUCUCCAAUUGCUACUUGGUGGCAGUCUCAGAUAUACUUCGUAUAUACAGGGGUCUUUGCGCGGAGAGUCAGAGAUUCGGCUGUUCAGUGCAAGGCAGCCUCAUCUGCGUUGCAUGCCUGGGAUAGAACCAGUUUGGCUGAAAGGUUGUUAUGGGAACGUUCAGCAGGCAACAAGUUGAGGGGUUCUGAGGCCCUCUUGAGAUUGGUUGUGUUACACCUGUUCAGUAUUGCCCAAAUGCCUAUGAUCAGCAACAAUACAGGAACGCCCUAGUACCGGCAGCUUGCAUUCUUCUGUUGGGGCAAGUCUUCUGUGG